rnacentral:tRNA from 1 species
CACUAAGAAGCUAGUAGCAUUAACCUUUUAAGUUAAAGAUAGGAGACCUUAAAUUCCCUUAGUGU